AAAAUCCAGAUGUCCACCACCUGUUUGUAGAAUUUCCCUAGAAAACCGAAUGGCUAGGGAUAGGAACCAUAAACUAAAUCAAGAGCAGAACUGCAAAACACGAAGCACUGCAUAAGUUUUCAACUUUUGUCACCCUCUCCCGAUCGUUGCAUGCACCAAACCUGAUCUUGACAUCAUGAGAAUAUCAACUAUUCGAAGCAGCCUAGGUUGGUUACUCUCUGAUCAGAGGGCGAGGAACACGAGCUCGCUCUGAAACAAGCCGCAGAAAAGUCAUGGAAAGAGCAGAAGCGGAGCUCAAACUAAGAGGAAAUACGUUCUUUGGAGGAGACAACAUUGGGUAUUUGGAAGAACAACUUUCUCGGCCACCCGACGAUUAGAGACAGAUUGCCGCCGCCGGACAAAAUGCUGGACUUCUUCUGCUGGUGCAGAAGCCCUCACGCUUCUCAGAAAUGCUUGAUCUAUUAUUUCCACUUUUGCCCCUUUUGUUUUUUAAAAUAACUAGAAGAAAUUCUACGAGACCUUUUUUUUUUGGGCUAAGGGAAAUGUUAUGAGACUUGUAAAAUAUGAAAAUUAGUAAUUUGUCAAAUAUAUUUUUAAAUGACUAAAA